GACAGAGGGGGCAAGCGUUGCUCGGAAUCACUGGGCGUAAAGGGCGCGUAGGCGGGAUGGCAAGUCGGUCGUGAAAUCCUUCGGCUCAACCGAAGAACGUCGGCCGAUACUGCCGUUCUUGAGGGAUGCAGAGGAGAUUGGAAUUCCCGGUGUAGCGGUGAAAUGUGUAGAGAUCGGGAGGAACACCGGUGGCGAAGGCGGGUCUCUGGACAGCAACUGGACGCUGAGGCACGAAGGCCAGGGGAGCAA
rnacentral:rRNA from 1 species